GUGAAACAAACUCCUUUAAAGACAGGAGUCUCCCUGCAGUCUGGCCCGUUAUAGUCACUUACGUUGCAGAAUCCAAGGAGCGCAUCCCUCAGGAGUCACUGGAUGGACGCCAUCUGAAGUCCACCGCACGUGGGAGUCAGGAAGAAUUUUCAGCUCAUCACCACCCACAGCGCCAGCCGGAUGUCAGCUCCUUACACGACCUCCGUUACCCCUGUGGCCUUUAAGGUAUAUUUCUAAACAAAGACACCUCUCCUUAAGAGAAGGCAAUUACC